UACAGAGGGGGCAAGCGUUGUUCGGAAUUACUGGGCGUAAAGGGCGCGUAGGCGGCCUGUUAAGUCGAACGUGAAAUCCCCGGGCUCAACCCGGGAACUGCGUCCGAUACUGGCAGGCUUGAAUUCGGGAGAGGGAUGUGGAAUUCCAGGUGUAGCGGUGAAAUGCGUAGAUAUCUGGAGGAACACCGGUGGCGAAGGCGGCAUCCUGGACCGAGAUUGACGCUGAUGCGCGAAAGCCAGGGGAGCAAACGGG
rnacentral:rRNA from 2 species